AACUUUCAACAACGGAUCUCUUGGUUCUGGCAUCGAUGAAGAACGCAGCGAAAUGCGAUAAGUAAUGUGAAUUGCAGAAUUCAGUGAAUCAUCGAAUCUUUGAACGCACAUUGCGCCCCUUGGUAUUCCGA
rnacentral:rRNA from 1 species